AGUCAGCUCCAGAAGUUGGCGAGUCGACUCCAGGUUAAGACGAGUCGACUCCCAGUCAAGGCAUGCACUUUAAUUCAAAUUUGGAAUAGUGGCCGAGUCGUCUCCAGUAAAGCACGAGCCGACUCCUGCAACAGGCGAGUCGACUCCUGAUCGCGCGAGUCGACUCCAAUCCCAACGGUAAUAUUGUCAGGAAGUGCAGACUGUGUCCAACGGCUCUAUUUUUGUCUCUAACGGCUAUAUUCUUGUUUCCACGCCAUCUAAAGCUAUAAAAACAAGAAGAGAGCUAGGGGAGAAAUCAUGGAAGUGGGAGAAAACAUUUAGGAAAGAGAUUACAAGGGAAAUCUCCCAUAAGCACAAAAAGGGCCAUCCAAAGAGAAAUAGAGAGAAGAAGAGCUUCCAAG
rnacentral:lncRNA from 1 species